rnacentral:rRNA from 1 species
AUGAACGCUGGCGGCGUGCCUAAUACAUGCAAGUCGAGCGAACAGACGAGGAGCUUGCUCCUCUGACGUUAGCGGCGGACGGGUGAGUAACACGUGGAUAACCUACCUAUAAGACUGGGAUAACUUCGGGAAACCGGAGCUAAUACCGGAUAAUAUAUUGAACCGCAUGGUUCAAUAGUGAAAGACGGUUUUGCUGUCACUUAUAGAUGGAUCCGCGCCGCAUUAGCUAGUUGGUAAGGUAACGGCUUACCAAGGCGACGAUGCGUAGCCGACCUGAGAGGGUGAUCGGCCACACUGGAACUGAGACACGGUCCAGACUCCUACGGGAGGCAGCAGUAGGGAAUCUUCCGCAAUGGGCGGAAGCCUGACGGAGCAACGCCGCGUGAGUGAUGAAGGUCUUCGGAUCGUAAAACUCUGUUAUUAGGGAAGAACAAAUGUGUAAGUAACUAUGCACGUCUUGACGGUACCUAAUCAGAAAGCCACGGCUAACUACGUG